GCCCAGACUCCUACGGGAGGCAGCAGUAGGGAAUCUUCCGCAAUGGACGAAAGUCUGACGGAGCAACGCCGCGUGUAUGAAGAAGGUUUUCGGAUCGUAAAGUACUGUUGUUAGAGAAGAACAAGGAUAAGAGUAACUGCUUGUCCCUUGACGGUAUCUAACCAGAAAGCCACGGCUAACUACGUGCACGCAGCCGCGGUAAUACGUAGGUGGCAAGCGUUGUCCGGAUUUAUUGGGCGUAAAGCGCGCGCAGGCGGUCUUUUAAGUCUGAUGUGAAAGCCCCCGGCUUAACCGGGGAGGG
rnacentral:ncRNA from 1 species